rnacentral:rRNA from 1 species
UGAAUACGAGACGCUACGGCGUCGAAGCAGUCGAUGUCAUACUUCCAAGAAAAGCUUGCACUGUCAUAAACAAAGAAUGCCUGUACCAUAACCGACACAGGUGGGUAGGUAGAGUAUACUAAGGGGCGCGAGAUAACUCUCUCUAAGGAACUCGGCAAAAUGACUCCGUAACUUCGGGAGAAGGAGUGCCUUAUUUAUAAGGUUGCAAUAACAAGAUCCAAGCAACUGUUUACCAAAAACACAGGUCUCCGCUAAGUCGUAAGACGAUGUAUGGGGGCUGACGCCUGCCCAGUGCCAGAAGGUUAAAGAAGUUGGUUAGCAUUUGCGAAGCUGAUAACUGAAGCCCUGGUGAACGGCGGCCGUAACUAUAACGGUCCUAAGGUAGCGAAAUUCCUUGUCGGGUAAGUUCCGACCCGCACGAAAGGCGUAAUGAUUUGGAUACUGUCUCAGAGAGGGGCUCGGUGAAAUAGACUUGUCUGUGAAGAUGCGGACUACCUGCACCAGGACAGAAAGACCCUAUGAAGCUUUACUGUAACCUGAAAUUGAAAUUGGACUUUAUUUGCGCAGUAUAGGUGGGAGGCGUUGAGAAUUUUCUUGCGGGAAGAUUGGAGCCAUCAGUGAGAUACCACUCUUGUAAUGUUAGAUCUCUAACUUUGAAUCAUGAUCUGGUCAAAGAACAGUUUCAGGCGGGCAGUUUGACUGGGGCGGUCGCCUCCCAAAUGGUAACGGAGGCGCACAAAGGUUUCCUCUGAACGGGUAGAAAUCGUAUCUAGAGUGUAAAGGCAUAAGGAAGCCUGACUGUGAGACCUACAAGUCGAGCAGGGACGAAAGUCGGUCUUAGUGAUCUGACGGUGCUGAGUGGAAAGGCCGUCACUCAACGGAUAAAAGUUACUCUAGGAUAACAGGCUGAUCUCCCCCAAGAGUUCACAUCGACGGGGAGGUUUGGCACCUCGAUGUCGGCUCAUCGCAUCCUGGGGCGGUAGUACGUCCCAAGGGUUGGGCUGUUCGCCCAUGAAAGCGGUACGCGAGCUGGGUUCAGAACGUCGUGAGACAGUUCGGUCCAUAUCCGGUGUAGGCGUUAGAAUAUUGAGAGGAGCCUUCUUUAGUACGAGAGGACCGAGAAGGACAUACCUCUGGUGUACCAGUUAUCGUGCCAACGGUAAACGCUGGGUAGCUAUGUAUGGAGAGGAUAACCGCUGAAAGCAUCUAAGUGGGAAGCCCACCUCAAGAUAAGUAUUCCA